rnacentral:misc_RNA from 1 species
GAUGAAGAACGCAGCGAAAUGCGAUAAGUAAUGUGAAUUGCAGAAUUCAGUGAAUCAUCGAAUCUUUGAACGCAUCUUGCGCUCCUUGGUAUUCUGAGAAGCAUGCCUGUUUGAGUGUCAUUAAAUUCUCAACUACACUGACUUUGAAUUGGUGUGGCUUGGAUUUGGGGGGAAAAUUGUUGUGGGCUUUUUGUAUGGUCUGCUCCCCUGAAAUUGAUUAGCGGUACCUUUGUGGAACUGUCUACAGGUGUGAUAAUUAUCUACAUCUUAGACAUCUGCUGGAAUGCUGCUUUCUAAACCUUACUUGUAUUGACAAUCUUGACCUCAAAUCAGGUAGGACUACCCGCUGAACUUAAGCAUAUCAAUAAGCGGAGGA